GACGAUCAUUUGUUUUUGCUUCUGUUCUUAAUGCAUUGCUAAUUGCUAGGGGAGGCUAAGGAUAACAAGCUGGUAAUUAGUAAUAAGCUCUUCUCGCCGAGGGAUCGGGUUAAGGGUAGGCCAAGAAAGUUUGCAUAACAAUUAGAUAAUCAAGCACAUUAAACAAGAGUAGAUAAGAGGGAGCGAAUAAGAUGAAAUUUUCAACCCCCAACAACUUCAUUCAUCCAGAGUCUUUUUCAUCAAUUGAAUCAAAUACAUUGCAUGUUUAUUUUCUGUCUUUGCAUUCACAACAAUUAAUCUUUUUCUACAAGUCUUACAAUUUUAAUUCACACGAACGAUAAGGCCUUUCGAGUCUCUUGGGAAGAAUGAUAUCGGGCUUUACCGAUUUAUUACUUGCACGAUCUGGUACACUUGCUAGUGAGUCAACACCUAACAAUAGCAUCAUCAGCCGAAAAAUGCAAGACUCCCCUCUUCUGCACUAGUGCGCCCCUC
rnacentral:lncRNA from 1 species